UUUAUUGGAGAGUUUGAUCCUGGCUCAGGAUGAACGCUGGCGGCGUGCCUAAUACAUGCAAGUCGAGCGAAUGGAUUGAGAGCUUGCUCUCAAGAAGUUAGCGGCGGACGGGUGAGUAACACGUGGGUAACCUGCCCAUAAGACUGGGAUAACUCCGGGAAACCGGGGCUAAUACCGGAUAACAUUUUGAACUGCAUGGUUCGAAAUUGAAAGGCGGCUUCGGCUGUCACUUAUGGAUGGACCCGCGUCGCAUUAGCUAGUUGGUGAGGUAACGGCUCACCAAGGCAACGAUGCGUAGCCGACCUGAGAGGGUGAUCGGCCACACUGGGACUGAGACACGGCCCAGACUCCUACGGGAGGCAGCAGUAGGGAAUCUUCCGCAAUGGACGAAAGUCUGACGGAGCAACGCCGCGUGAGUGAUGAAGGCUUUCGGGUCGUAAAACUCUGUUGUUAGGGAAGAACAAGUGCUA
rnacentral:rRNA from 1 species